rnacentral:lncRNA from 1 species
GAGGAACUCAUAUUUAUAUUCCUGAAAACUGUGAAGGUGCCUGACACUUGCUAAAGAAAUUAAGAUCUUCUCAAGAGAUUAAACACCUGCCCAUGCUCAGAGUUAAGAAAAGAUGGAGUGGGGAAUGAAACCCAAAUGUUCUGAGUGCAGAGCCCUGCCUUUGACACACACAGCUUCUGCAGCUCUGCCAUAUGCAUUGCUUCACUUCAGUGUUGCCACCAACCCGUGGGGGCCAGAGAGCUGCUAUUCCCCAUAUGACAGACGGAAACUACAGCUCAGAUCUCACAGCUCUAGUGGGCACCAUGUUACAAGAGAACAGAGCACAGACACACAAUCUCUGGUGGGCAGAGACACAAAGAAUCUGAAAGGACUGCAGCAUCUACCCUGGAGUGUUGCAAGAUACUGCACCACUCAGAUACUGACACACUUAGAGAGUGUGGAAACUCUCUGAGCUCUGUUGAGUACUUCCACUGGUAGUAGGAGCCUCUACAAGAACGAAAUACCAAGUGCUGAGCCUUGGACCCUCCCAGAAACUAGAUUCAAAAGGGAGAAGCAAAUGUUCAUGAAAAUUGUAAAUGCAUUUGUCCUUUGACCCAAUAAUCCCACUUCUAGAAUUGUGUCCUAUUGAUAUUUCUACACUCACGAAAAGAUUAUUCUUUACUACACUGUCUGUGACAACAAAAGAGUAGAGUCAAUUCAAAUAUUCAUCAAGGAGGGACUGCUUAAAUUAAUUAUGGUAGCUAUUUAAUGAAACACUACAUAGCUGUGAAAAAGAAGAAGCUCUCUACGUACUGAUAUGGACUGGUGUUGAUAUGGUUUGACUGCAUCCCCACCCAAAUCUCAUCUUGAAUUGUAGCAUUCAUAAUUCCCAUGUGUCAUGGAGGGACCCUAUGGAAGGCAAUUGAAUCGUGGGGGCAGGUAUUUCCCAUGCUGUUCUUGUGAUAAUGAAGAAGUCUUAUGAGAUCUGAUGGUUUUAUAAAGGGCAGUUCCCCUGCGCAUGCUCUCUUUGCCUGCCACCACGUAAGACAUGCCUUUGCUUCUCCUUUGCCUUAGCUUUUCAUUUGCCUUCCACCAUGAUUGUGAGGCCUCCUCAGCCAUGUAGAACUGUCAGUUCAUUAAACCUCUUUCCUUUAUAAAUUACCUGGUCUCAGGUAUGUCUUUAUUAGCAGAGUGAGAACGAACUAAUACAGGUGUCCAAGAUUUAUUGUUAAAGAAUCUAAAAUGCAGAAUAUUUUAGUAUGCUCUCUCUCUCUUUCUCUCUCCCUCUCUCCUCACACACACACAUACAGAGAUCAUGUGAGCAUACAGCAAAAUAGUAUCCACCUGCAAGCCAAAAGAAGAGGCUUCAAAAUGAAAUCUUCCUUACCCAUACCUUGAUCUUGAACUUCCCGCCUCCAGAACUAUGAGAAAUAAAUUUGUUAUUUAAGCC